AGAAGAAUUAAUAAGAUUCACAUUUGAUCUAUUUUGAACUGGAAAAUAUUAUUUGGCAGAAUACGACAAAAUUGAAAAGCCUGAUAGUCCACUGAAUGGAAAUUUCUAUGACAAGAUUUUUUAUAACAAGAAGUGUCUGUCGCAUGAUUCCUCAAGAACAACAGAAGAUCCAUAAACCCAAUAAAAAUCCGAAAAAUCCACAUCAGAAGAGAAUCAAGGUCACAACAAGAUCGACGACUCCCGGGUGUCCAUAGCUCGAGUCCAAACAGCGUGCGACGCAUUCCACGCGAAAGCUGAAAUAACGCGAAUUUAACGCCACAUUCUCGUCGAUUGCUGGCAAGGGAAAAAAUAAGGCUAGUAAUUCAACGUGGCGGACGCUGGAUUAGUAACACUGGUCUACGUGCCUUUCAUCGACUACUGGAAGUGGCUGGCAGAGCCGGAUGUGUAGGUUACGCGUCCCUGACCUAGGUUGUCUUGAUAUAGUGGUGAAAAAAAAAGGAAGAAAUAAAUAAGACUGAGAGAAAAAGAAGCAACAAAUGGGGUAAACGAGCGUGGAAGGGGGACGGUCCGUGGUUACGCAUGGCCGCUGAAAUCGUCACGAAUAGGGAGCACGAACAAAAAUUCUGAACAUGUGCGAGAAAUUGUAUACGCGUAUAAACAUGACGGGGAACUCUCCGGUGUUGUUAACUCUGAUGCACAAGUACUUGUGGCUAGAUUUUUCUUGGUUCUUGCGAGUAGAGGAUCGAAACUGAUCAUGGCUUUUUGCGUGGACGAGAAGAAUGGGAAAUAAUAGUCACUAUAAGUGAUAAUG